rnacentral:lncRNA from 1 species
GCCGCUCAUCAUCAUUUCUUUUUCCAUCAUUCGAAUUGAUCACCGCAUGGUUUGAAGGUACCACAAACAUAAACGUGUCAAAGCCCACUCAUGUCAUGUCAUGGACCAUGCCAGACCCACUAAAUUCUAGAUCCACGUGGAUCAGAUGAACGGUCCACGGUAUGACAAGUUCAGCGUACGAAGAAUUUGUUUUUGAUAAAUCAAAUCAAAUAAACU